GUGGGGAAUUUUGCGCAAUGGGGGAAACCCUGACGCAGCAACGCCGCGUGGAGGAUGAAGCCCCUUGGGGCGUAAACUCCUUUCGAUAGGGAAGAUAAUGACGGUACCUAUAGAAGAAGCCCCGGCUAACUUCGUGCCAGCAGCCGCGGUAAUACGAGGGGGGCAAGCGUUGUUCGGAAUUAUUGGGCGUAAAGGGUGCGUAGGCGGUUUGGUAAGUCUUGUGUGAAAUCUUCAGGCUCAACUUGAAGUCUGCACGAGAAACUACCGGACUAGAGUGUGGGAGAGGUGAGUGGAAUUUCCGGUGUAGCGGUGAAAUGCGUAGAUAUCGGAAGGAACACCUGUGGCGAAAGCGGCUCACUGGACCACAACUGACGCUGAGGCACGAAAGCUAGGGGAGCAAACAGGAUUAGAUACCCUUGUAGUCC
rnacentral:rRNA from 1 species